UUGGAGGCAAGUCUGGUGCCAGCAGCCGCGGUAAUUCCAGCUCCAAUAGCGUAUAUUAAAGUUGUUGCAGUUAAAAGCUCGUAGUUGAAUUUCGGGGUUAGUAGGUUGGUCAUGCCUCUGGUAUGUACUGGUCUCACUGAUUCCUCCUUCCUUAUGAACCGUAAUGCCAUUAAUUUGGUGUUGCGGGGAAUUUGGACUGUUACUUUGAAAAAAUUGAGUGUUUAAAGCAAGCUAACGCUUGAAUACAUUAGCAUGGAAUAAUGAAAUAGGACG
rnacentral:rRNA from 1 species